rnacentral:rRNA from 1 species
CGAAGGGUGCAAGCGUUACUCGGAAUUACUGGGCGUAAAGCGUGCGUAGGUGGUUUGUUAAGUCAGAUGUGAAAGCCCUGGGCUCAACCUGGGAACUGCAUUUGAUACUGGCAGGCUAGAGUGCGGUAGAGGGGUGCGGAAUUCCUGGUGUAGCAGUGAAAUGCGUAGAGAUCAGGAGGAACAUCCGUGGCGAAGGCGGCACCCUGGGCCAGCACUGACACUGAGGCACGAAAGCGUGGGAGCAAACAGGAUU